GUUUUUUGUUUAAUUGUUGUUACAGUGUGGGUACCCUUGGUGUGUGUGUGUGUGUAUGUAUAUAGUGUGGCUAGUUCUGGAUUCUGGGGUUUACACUCAUCUCUAUGUUUGUGAUUUUUGCAAAUGUCUUCUUGUUAGUGUAACCACUUUCAUCUUUUCAUUUGUCCUUUAUCUCUCCUGUGUUUGUUGCCCAGAGCUGUGUUAGUCACCCACGCUCGCCCUCUCCGGUCUGUGGCCACCUCCCCCGGGUGCACAGACCAUCGUGACUAGUCAGUCGAGCACUGUAGACUUUCCUACUUCUUCUUCCCUCUCACUUGGUCUCCUUUACUUGGCAGACCACGCUUGGUCAAAAAGGGGCAAGCACAUACUAGACCAGCUAAGGGGUAUUUGGCUUGUGAUAUUGUUAAAGAGAGGGCAGGGGAAGAAGC